rnacentral:misc_RNA from 1 species
AACCUAGCACACCUGCGGUGUGUACCUGCGGAGGGAUCAUUACAGAGUUGCAAAACUCCCUAAACCAUUGUGAACGUUACCUAAACCGUUGCUUCGGCGGGCGGCCCGGGUCCUUCCCGGCGCCCAUCGGCCCUCGCGGGCGCCCGCCGGAGGUAAACCAAACUAUUGCAUUGUAUGGCCUCUCUGAGUCUUCUGUACUGAAUAAGUCAAAACUUUUAACAAUGGAUCUCAGAUCGGAAG